UACGAAGGAUGCGAGCGUUAUUCGGAGUUACUGGGCGUAAAGAGCGUGUAGGCGGCCAAUUAAGUUAGUUGUUAAAUAUCACGGCCUAACUGUGAAAGUGCAGCUAAUACUGGUUGGCUAGAGUAUAGAAGAGAGAAGUGGAAUUCCCGGAGUAGCGGUAGAAUGCGUAGAUCCCGGGAAGAACACCGGUUGCGAAGGCGGCUUCUUGGUCUAUUACUGACGCUAAAGUGCGAAAGCGUGGGGAG
rnacentral:rRNA from 1 species